rnacentral:rRNA from 1 species
CCUACGGGAGGCUGCAGUGGGGAAUAUUGGACAAUGGGGGGAACCCUGAUCCAGCCAUGCCGCGUGUGUGAAGAAGGCCCUCGGGUUGUAAAGCACUUUCAGUGAGGAAGAACGCCUGGUGGUUAAUACCCAUCAGGAAAGACAUCACUCACAGAAGAAGCACCGGCUAACUCCGUGCCAGCAGCCGCGGUAAUACGGAGGGUGCGAGCGUUAAUCGGAAUUACUGGGCGUAAAGCGCGCGUAGGUGGCUUGAUAAGCCGGUUGUGAAAGCCCCGGGCUCAACCUGGGAACGGCAUCCGGAACUGUCAAGCUAGAGUGCAGGAGAGGAAGGUAGAAUUCCCGGUGUAGCGGUGAAAUGCGUAGAGAUCGGGAGGAAUACCAGUGGCGAAGGCGGCCUUCUGGACUGACACUGACACUGAGGUGCGAAACCGUGGGUAGCAAACAGGAUUAGAUACCCCUGUAGUC